rnacentral:rRNA from 1 species
GACAGAGGGUGCAAACGUUGUUCGGAAUUAUUGGGCGUAAAGAGCUCGUAGGCGGUCUGUCGCGUCUGGUGUGAAAAUCCAGGGCUUAACCCUGGACCUGCAUCGGGUACGGGCAGACUAGAGUGCGGUAGGGGAGAUCGGAAUUCCUGGUGUAGCGGUGAAAUGCGCAGAUAUCAGGAGGAACACCGGUGGCGAAGGCGGAUCUCUGGGCCGUAACUGACGCUGAGGAGCGAAAGCAUGGGGAGCGAACAGG